AGGGAAUCUUCCACAAUGGACGAAAGUCUGAUGGAGCAACGCCGCGUGAGUGAUGAAGGUUUUCGGAUCGUAAAACUCUGUUGUAAGGGAAGAACAAGUACGUUAGGAAAUGAACGUACCUUGACGGUACCUUAUUAGAAAGCCACGGCUAACUACGUGCCAGCAGCCGCGGUAAUACGUAGGUGGCAAGCGUUGUCCGGAUUUAUUGGGCGUAAAGCGCGCGCAGGCGGUUUCUUAAGUCUGAUAUGAAAGCCCACGGCUUAACCGUGGAGGGUCAUUGGAAACUGGGAGACUUGAGUGCAGAAGAGGAAAGUGGAAUUCCAAGUGUAGCGGUGAAAUGCGUAGAGAUUUGGAGGAACACCAGUGGCGAAGGCGACUUUCUGGUCUGCAACUGACGCUGAGGCGCGAAAGCAUGGGGAGCAAAC
rnacentral:rRNA from 1 species